rfam:Triticum aestivum genome assembly, contig: Triticum_aestivum_CS42_TGACv1_scaffold_131053_2BL
AGGUUUUGUCCUAAGUCAAACUUCUAUAAGUUUGACCAACUUUGUAGAAAGAUAUGCUAAUAUCUACAGCAUCAAAUAUAUAUAGUAUGAAAACAUGUGUUAUGAUGAAUCUGGUGAAACUAAUUUGAUGUUGUAGAUGUUGGUAUAUUUUUCUAUAAAUUUGGUCAAACUUUAAAGAAGUUUGACUUAGGGCAAACCUAG